GCGGGUGUAGCUCAAUGGUAGAGCCCCAGCCUUCCAAGCUGAUUGCGUGGGUUCGAUUCCCAUCACCCGCUCCA
rnacentral:tRNA from 1 species